UGAGUAAUGCUUAGGAAUCUGCCUAUUAGUGGGGGACAACAUUUCGAAAGGAAUGCUAAUACCGCAUACGUCCUACGGGAGAAAGCAGGGGAUCUUCGGACCUUGCGCUAAUAGAUGAGCCUAAGUCGGAUUAGCUAGUUGGUGGGGUAAAGGCCUACCAAGGCGACGAUCUGUAGCGGGUCUGAGAGGAUGAUCCGCCACACUGGGACUGAGACACGGACCAGACUCCUACGGGAGGCAGCAGUGGGGAAUAUUGGACAAUGGGCGCAAGCCUGAUCCAGCCAUGCCGCGUGUGUGAAGAAGGCCUUAUGGUUGUAAAGCACUUUAAGCGAGGAGGAGGCUACUUUAGUUAAUACCUAGAGAUAGUGGACGUUACUCGCAGAAUAAGCACCGGCUAACUCUGUGCCAGCAGCCGCGGUAAUACAGAGGGUGCAAGCGUUAAUCGGAUUUACUGGGCGUAAAGCGCGCGUAGGCGGCUAAUUAAGUCAAAUGUGAAAUCCCCGAGCUUAACUUGCGAAUUGCAUUCGAUACUGGUUAGCUAGAGUGUGGGAGAGGAUGGUAGAAUUCCAGGUGUAGCGGUGAAAUGCGUAGAGAUCUGGAGGAAUACCGAUGGCGAAGGCAGCCAUCUGGCCUAACACUGACGCUGAGGUGCGAAAGCAUGGGGAGCAAACAGGAUUAGAUACCCUGUUAGUCCAUGCCGUAAACGAUGUCUACUAGCCGUUGGGGCCUUUGAGGCUUUAGUGUCGCACUAACGCGAUAAGUAGACCGCCUGGGGAGUACGGUCGCAAGACUA
rnacentral:rRNA from 1 species